UUUCUAAACUGUCGUUUUCUUGGACAUAGUUUCUGUAGAGCGGCAGUUCAUUACCUCUGAGUUGUGGGUGGGAAUGUUUGGACUGGAGUAACCCUCUACUGACAUUUCAUGGAAUCUCUGGUUACACUCUGUCCCACGAGCUUACAGCCCCUCACAAUUACAACCAUGGCCGGCCCUCCCUAUACGCGAAUUACGCAGCCGCGUAGGGCCCCCGUCACUAUCAGGGCCCCGAAGUGGCGAAAAAAUAAACAAAAAAGACCCAAACCUGGCAACCAAUUUCAUAGAAUUUACGUACCAGCGUGCGCUCUGAAUGUUGUGCAAGAGAAAGUUGCCUGCACUUUUGUGAUCCCCCCUUCAACACACCUGAACCAAUCUGGCAACCCAAAUAAGGACGUUACGCCCCUCUUAGCAGCGAUUGGUCAACAUCAUUGCAUCUGAGCCUGGCACACUGUGUAUUUACGAGCUCAUUUUAUUUCAAUAAAGUUGGGGAAAAGAAAAAAACGAGCACAUUUUGUCACACUGAUCAAAGCGACAACAAGACAACUUCAUGCCAUUAGUGACUUUAUCCAUCAUUAGGAGCUGAAAAAAGAUGAAGAAUUCAACAUCAGUCACAAGUAUUGGAGGUGGUGCAGCGUCCACAUCCCAAGAUGUUCCUGACUUCACUGAAGAUGUCAUCUCAGAGGCUCCAAGAGAGGCGUGUAUGGAAGAGGAGCCUACUGGAUCCAAAAUUCCACCUACCGGUACCUCAAACCCAGUUGGUCAAGCUGAAUGACCAACCACACUCUUAGAUCCAGUAAGAAUGGAUUUGGUGCAAAGAGGUCCUUUUCAGACUGAAAAAGACUCUGACUUUCUAAAAUCCCCCUCAGUGAGCUGUUGUUUUCUUUAUGUAUGAUUGUUUUAUCGUUAUCUGAUUUGGUAUUAAGUUGCUGUUUUUAAUAAGUUGGAGUUUUGUGAAUGUCAUUUGUUGAGUGCCUAAUGUUACAUUAA